AACGAACGCUGGCGGCAUGCCUAACACAUGCAAGUCGAACGGGACAUGCGGGUCUAUUCUCGCACGGGUGCGUAGCCGGUGGGAUCAUGCCAUGAGAUCAGGCUGAACUCCACGAAGGGAGUGCUGAUACCGGCGAAUGUCUUCACACCAAAGAUUGAUCGAGUUUGGAUGGGCCCCCGUUAGAUUAGAUCGUUGGUAGGGUAAAUGCCUACCAAUGCGCCGAUAGGUAGCUGGUCAGAGAGGACGAUCAGCCACACUGGGACGGAGACACGGCCCAGACUCUUACGGGAGGCGGGAGUGGGGAAUCUUGGACAGCGGGCGAAAGCCUGAGCAAGCACGGCUGCGUGAGUGAUGAAGGCCGUAGGGAAGUAAAGUUCUUUUACCCGGGAUGAUAAUGACAGUACCGGGAGAAUAAGCUCCGGCUAACUUCGUG
rnacentral:rRNA from 1 species